UACAGAGGGGGCAAGCGUUGUUCGGAUUUACUGGGCGUAAAGGGCGCGUAGGCGGCCUCCGCAAGUCAGUUGUGAAAUCUCCGAGCUUAACUCGGAAAGGUCAACUGAUACUGCGGGGCUAGAGUGCGGAAGGGGCAACUGGAAUUCUUGGUGUAGCGGUGAAAUGCGUAGAUAUCAAGAGGAACACCUGCGGCGAAGGCGGGUUGCUGGGCCGACACUGACGCUGAGGCGCGAAAGCUAGGGGAGCGAACGGG
rnacentral:rRNA from 1 species